AUAAAAACUAACUCUGAGGGGCGAGCAGACAACCUGGGAUUAGGCACAAUCUAAUAGGUUUCCCAACUGGAAAGAAUGCUGUCUUUGGGGAAUGAUCCAGCUGUACCCACCUCAGAGGAUUGUUGGAAGAUCAAGUGAGAACAUGUGUAAGUUAGAAAAAUGUAACUUUGAUAUUACUGUGAUUUUUGAGGGAGAGAGCAUGGUUAGGUUAAAUGAGAAACAAGGAUUUCUGAGGGUGGAGGGACUGGUUCUUUAUUUCAAAGGACAUUUUGUCAAUUUUCAGUAUCAAAACACUUGCACUAUUGGUUCCUCUUUAUCCAGAUUGGCUCCAAAAUAGACCACACCAAAGGAGAGUACAUUUAAGCCAAUAAA